AUUGAACGCUGGCGGCAUGCUUUACACAUGCAAGUCGAACGGCAGCGCGGGCUUCGGCCUGGCGGCGAGUGGCGAACGGGUGAGUAAUACAUCGGAACGUGCCCAGAAGUGGGGGAUAGCUCGGCGAAAGCCGGAUUAAUACCGCAUACGACCUGAGGGUGAAAGCGGGGGAUCUUCGGACCUCGCGCUAUUGGAGCGGCCGAUGGCAGAUUAGCUAGUUGGUGGGGUAAAGGCCUACCAAGGCGACGAUCUGUAGCUGGUCUGAGAGGACGACCAGCCACACUGGGACUGAGACACGGCCCAGACUCCUACGGGAGGCAGCAGUGGGGAAUUUUGGACAAUGGGCGAAAGCCUGAUCCAGCAAUGCCGCGUGUGUGAUGAAGGCCUUCGGGUUGUAAAGCACUUUUGGCGGGAACGAAAAGGACUGUGCCAAUACCACGGUUCGAUGACGGUACCCGCAGAAUAAGCACCGGCUAACUACGUG
rnacentral:rRNA from 1 species